GAUCUGGGAGGGAUGCCCACUGACGGACUCUUACUUCUGGUAGACCGAGAGUCACAGACAACCACAAGAUCAAAUUAUUUUUACUUGCAACUUUAUCAGUCCAAUCAAUCAUCAAACUAUAUCUCCUAGCGCUUUUGGCAUUGCCACUCCAUUUUUUCCACUCUACUGGCUCACAACUGAACGCCCUUUCUUCUCCUAUUCCUCUUCCUGCCCAGGUUCAGUUGCAGAUAUGGAUUGUCCAGGUCCAAGUUUGUUUCCAUUGCACCGCUGCAAAACUCUUCACCUGGGCGUCCACGAUUGCCUUCUUUCUUGGCUUUUGCUCGCAAAACAAGGCAUUCUGGUCUUAUAAAACCAUGCAUCCAGGUGAGGCAUGCACAAGGGAUGCACAAUGUAGAGGGAGAUAAGAACUACAAAGCUUGCUUGUCUCCCGAAUAUUUUGAUGCACAACUUACUCAACUGGGUUGGCAGCAGGUUGACAAUUUGCGUAGGCAUGUCCGCACAUGUGGGCUUUCCAAGAGGAUUGAUUUGGUUAUUGCAUCUCCUUUGCUAAGGACAUUGCAAACAGCUGUUGGAGUUUUUGGCGGUGACAGCUAUACAGAUAGGACUGAUGCACUGCCACUGAUGGUGGCAAAUGCUGGAAACAGUGGUCGAGCUGCAAUUUCAAGUCUCAAUUCCCCACCUUUCAUUGCUGUAGAACUAUGUCGAGAACAUUUUGGUGUGCAUCCUUGUGACAAGAGGCGAAACGUCAGUGACUAUCAAUUUCUUUUCCCUGCAAUUGAUUUUUCAUUGAUAGAAACUGAUGAAGAUGUACUGUGGAAGGCCAAUGUGAGAGAGACAACUGAAGAACUUACUGCCAGGGGAUUAAAGUUCAUGAACUGGUUGUGGACAAGGAAAGAGAAAGAGAUAGCAAUAGUUACCCACAGUGGGUUCUUGUUUCAUACCUUGAAUGCAUUUGGAAAUGACUGUAACCCAUUGGUGAAAAAAGAAAUAUGCAAUCGGCUUCUGAGUUUCUGUCGGAUUCUGCAAUUUUGUUCUUUGGAUUUAUUGACUACAACUUAUUCACUUUUCCUUUUCAUUAUUUUUCAACAAAAGUGGAGUGGUAAUGUUCCUUUUCUGUUCAAAUCUGCGCUGAAAAGGGGGGAAAAAGAGAUGUUGGAACCUUUUUUGUCAACAAAAUUCAAGCUGAAAGCUCAUGCUUGCCCUACCACUUACAUAAAUGAUUGCAGCUUUGGUCCUUUAUUCUUAUGCUUUUUGCUUUUGUGUUGUGGCUUAUAAAGGUAAAAUCCUUGUAUUAUGGCUGCAUAUUUGUUUUUUGUCUGUUUUUUGUUUUUGCAAUGCAUCCUGUUGUUCUGAUGUGAUAUCCAGUGGUCCAGAGGUAGGCUCUGCUGUUUUCUUUAGAUUUUUACUGCACAUGGUAAAUUCAACCAUGUUUUUGUUCUACCCAUCCUAAAACCAGAAAUGACUUGUUGCAUGCACUUGCAGCUUUACAAAUUGUGAGCUUCGAUCCAUGGUCAUUGUUGACAGAAGUAUGACUGGAUCAGAUCCUGCAACAACUAACUAUACUGGAAAGAUUCCUCGAGGGCUGGAUCUUCCAAGUGAUGCUCUGGAGGAGGCUAAACCCAAAACAAAUUCAGUCAUCU